rnacentral:tRNA from 1 species
UGCGUUGAUAGUUUAAGUAAAAUAGAUUCUUUCUAGGUGUAAGUUAGGGUUGGUCCCUUUGAUGCA